CAUAGUUGAUGUCACAGGCCC
rnacentral:piRNA from 1 species